AUUGAACGCUGGCGGCAGGCCUAACACAUGCAAGUCGAACGAGUGGCGGACGGGUGAGUAAUGUCUGGGAAACUGCCCGAUGGAGGGGGAUAACUACUGGAAACGGUAGCUAAUACCGCAUACCAUCGGAUGUGCCCAGAUGGGAUUAGCUAGUAGGUGGGGUAACGGCUCACCCAGGCGACGAUCCCUAGCUGGUCUGGGAGGAUGACCCGCCACACUGGAACUAGGACACGGUCCAGACUCCUACGGGAGGCAGCAGUGGGGAAUGUUGCACAAUGGACGCAAGCCUAAUGCAGCCAUGCCGCGUGUAUGAAGAAGGCCUUCGGGUUGUAAAGUACUUUCAGCGAGGAGGCGUUACUCGCAGAAGAAGCACCGGCUAACUCCGUGCCAGUAGCCGCGGUAAUAC
rnacentral:rRNA from 1 species